GUGUUAAAUACACAGUUACUGUGUGGAGUGACAKCUGGGGUCAAGGUCUSCAGCCUGAGUUCCCAGCUGAUAAUUGAAACUGUGCAGAUGAAGCUUUGAGACUUACUAWUAGUUCCUACUUGGAGGUGAAACUGUGYCUUACAAAAUGCRCACCAAAGUUGGACUGUAUCCUGCRUUAUACAGACUGUCCAAAGUCAGUCCAGUUGYGCAUCAGCUUUCUAAAUAAUGUAUUCAAGUGUGAAGGCAGUUACGUUAUUUAGAAGAAGAAUUGUGCUGACUGUCACUGAAGAGAAAAGCUUUACCUGAAACCUACACCUUCAUAGCAAACUUGCAGAAAAACUGAAUCAAUGCAAGCUGUGGACAGGCAAAAGUGUCUUUGGAAAAAUUCAGAUGGCUUUCCCAGAUGUUUAUUUAAUAAUGRAGAUGAUGGUUAAUCAAUUGGUAGCAGUCACUGCUUGAAAAAUACUUAUUCUGUUUGGUAGGCUGUAACCCCCUCCAGGGGAUUUGCUUUAGCAAAGUUUUAUAGCUCAUYGAGACAUUAAAYAAUAGCACUUACAAAACCCACACAUAGACUUUCCUUUCCUGUUAGUAAUUUAACUCUUCAGACAAGACUCUAAAAUCRUUUCAGAUUCACAUUGCACGCCUGYAAUUAUCUGAAAUUUGGAGCAUUYAUUUUUAAGGGWUUGUCUCAUCUUUAA